rnacentral:lncRNA from 12 species
CCCCCCCCCCCCCCCCCCCCCCCCCCCCCCCCCCCCCCCCCCCCCCCCCCCCCCCCCCCCCCCCCUUUUUUUUUUUUUUUUUUUUUUCUGCGGAUGGGAGAUGGAAUAAAAGUGAACGCGGCAUCGGGGCUGUGGUCACAGAGGUGGCUUCGGUGACUCUGAAUUUGGGGACUUGGAUAAAUGGGGGGAUUCAGCAGGUGAGAUUUGGGGAUUCAGCAGGUGAGAUUUGGGGAUUCAGCAGGUGGGAUUUGGGGAUGCAUCAAGUGAGAUUUGGGGAUUCAUCACGUGAGAUUUGGGGAUUCAUCAAGUGAGAUCUGGGGAUGCAUCACGUGAGAUCUGGGAAUUCAUCACGUGAGAUCUGGGAAUUCAUCAAGUGAGAUUUGGGGAUUCAUCAAGUGAGAUCUGGGCCCCCCCCCCCCCCCCCCCCCCCCCCCCCCCCCCCCCCCCCCCCCCCCCCCCC